rnacentral:rRNA from 1 species
GUGGGGAAUCUUCCGCAAUGGACGAAAGUCUGACGGAGCAACGCCGCGUGAGUGAAGAAGGUUUUCGGAUCGUAAAGCUCUUUCGUUAGGGACGAACGUGCUCUUUGUGAAUAAUGAGGAGUAAUGACGGUACCUAAAUAAGAAGCCACGGCUAACUACGUGCCAGCAGCCGCGUAAUACGUAGGUGGCAAGCGUUGUCCGGAAUUAUUGGGCGUAAAGCGCGCGCAGGCGGGAUAUCAAGUCUGUCUUAAAAGUGCGAGGCUCAACCUCGUGAGGGGACAGAAACUGGUAUUCUUGAGUGUCGGAGAGGAAAGUGGAAUUCCAAGUGUAGCGGUGAAAUGCGUAGAGAUUUGGAAGAACACCAGUGGCGAAGGCGACUUUCUGGACGAUGUCUGACGCUGAGGCGCGAAAGCUAGGGGAGCGAACGGGAUUAGAAACCCCGGUAGUCC